rnacentral:lncRNA from 1 species
CUUCCUUCUCUCCCCCCAAGCCUCCAUAUUUAUUUCCUUCCUACUAAAAUUUUCUUCCACAUUCCCUCUCAUCCAGUCCUCAAUGAAUCCUGAGGACAGCUAUCAGUGGUCACUCUCUUGGGCUUGAAAUGGAACAGAUCUUCUUGUUCCAUCUCUUUCUGAUAGCGCCAGUUCCUGCUGAGGACAGAACAUUGUCUUCUUUUCUCCCUGCCUCAGGCAGAUGGCAGGGAGUGUUGUGUGUUCCCACAAAGGAGCGUGCUGUCCCCGCUCCCGAGUCUCUCAGCGAGCCCUGUCAUGGAAGGCAUCCAGGAGAAUGUGGAACUCCGCACCCGCUUUCUCAGAACAGAGGAGCAUCCAUGACCCUCAGAAUCACAGCAUUGAGAGGUAUGUAUCAACUCCAGGUCUCUGCAUUUGUCCGCGUUCUUCACUGUCAUGUGGCUCCUCCCGAUGUGAUAGCAAAGAUGCCCGUGGACAAACCAGGCUUGGGUCCAUCAUGUUGGCAAUCUGGAGGAAGCCGAGCACUUUUUCUCCAACUGACUCAGUCCCAGGACUGGCUCUCAUUUGCCCAGCUUGUGCAGAAUCUCAUUGUCCUAAUGUUAAAUAUAUAUCAUCAGUGCUCAAUGUUACAGCUUCAAACAUAGAAGAUACAAGAAGUAAAUGCUGAGAUUUCGCUAUUUGUUAACCUAUCAUGUGAUGAACCUAUACAAAUUGUGUAAAGCAAAUGUUUUCAGGCAUUGGAUGUCAAGCAGCACAGGACUAUCAACCUGAAGGAAAGAGAAUCACACAAGAUGAGCCUCAUAUUUAUCCUGGCUUUCCGCUUCGGAGCACUCUCUCAACUUCAACACAGAGAAGUGAAACCCAAGUGAAAGAGUAUUGCUAAACCAAGGAGGCAGACCUCAUGUUUGUUCAAGAGUACCCAAGAGAUAGGAUCUGUAAGAGGCACACAGGACCACAUUUGUUCUACCACGCUAUGCUGAAUAUGAGGCAAAAGUUAACACCUGGAAAUUUUGCUAUCCUGAAAUGAGGCAGUGCAUUGUGGAGAAAAAAAGAAUGGACUCUUCUAUUAAAUGAACGUAAGUGAGCAAGCUGUUUAUAAACUAUAAAAGUGACAAAUAUGUAUAAUUAUAUUUAAAUGUUAUCAUUACAAAUUGUUAAGGCAGUAUUGCACCCUACGGGCUUUGGAAACCGUGACCAUUUGCAUUCAUUAUCGAUCAUUGCAUAAAAAUAAUCACAAAACUAAAAAAAAAAAAAAAAAAAAAA